GGGCCCUUACCUCAGCCUGGAUAGAGGACAUGGCUACGAACCAUGGCGUCAGGAGUUCAAAUCUCCUAGGGCCCU
rnacentral:tRNA from 1 species